CCAAUAAUAUAUCCAUGGAAAGCCCUUUGAGUUAGCUACCUAACGCACUUCGUUUCACCUCAUUCGGAGUUCGGACGAAGAAGUUAUGCCCAUUUCCGUAAAAUCUGUCCGACAGAAAAAGACAAUUUCCAGUAGCUAAUUUUACUGUUCACCCGCCCCAUUUUUUUUUUCUAAGGGUUGGACGAUUUUUUUCCAAAGGGCAUAUGUUAUUUCCUAUAUACCAUUAGUUCAAUUCCCAUCUCUAAAACAUUUCCCAAAACACCUCUCCCACACUUAGACACAUUUUCUCUCAAGUUCUCCCAAGAACCCUAAUCCAAAACCUUCCUCA
rnacentral:lncRNA from 1 species